GGGGAUUUAGCUCAGUGGCAUAAGCACCUGCCUUGCAAACAGGCGGCCGUGGGUUCAAUCCCCG
rnacentral:tRNA from 1 species